GGGAAGUAUCCCAAUUUUUUUUACGGGCCUGCCGAAUCCUGAAAAAUGGGUUCUUGGGUAAGCGUGGUAGGGGAGGGUAGAUUCGAAGACUGAUAAGGGCAGAAGCCGGACCACCGGAGCUAUGUAGUUCAGUGUGUCAAUUGAAAGAGGAGGGGAGACAACUAAAAUGCUAGCGAAAAAAUAGAAAGAGUCGUGCCGUUCAAAGUAGAAUUUUUCUAAGAUCCAUUGCUCGAUUUUGCAUGCUCUGUUCCCAAAAUGCAUAGAGACUUGCGAGGGCAGAUCUGAGUUGGUUGGUUCGAAAAGUCAUGAUGGGAGAGGCAUGCUAAGUUAAA
rnacentral:lncRNA from 1 species